UACCUGGUGGUCCAGUGGCUAAGACUCCACACUCCCAAUGCAGGGGGCCCAGGUUCAAUCCCUGGUCAGGGAA
rnacentral:tRNA from 1 species